rnacentral:rRNA from 1 species
CCUACGGGAGGCAGCAGUGAGGAAUAUUGGUCAAUGGGCGCGAGUCUGAACCAGCCAAGUCGCGUGAAUGAUGACUGCCCUCUGGGUUGUAAGCUUCUUUUAUAUGGGAGUAAGAUCUUCCACGAGUGGGAUUUUGUAUGUACCAUAUGUAUAAGGAUCGGCUAACUCCGUGCCAGCAGCCGCGGUAAUACGGAGUGUCCGAGCGUUAUCCGGAUUUAUUGGGUUUAAAGGGAGCGGAGGUGGAGUGUUAAGUCAGUUGUGAAAGUUUGCGGCUCAACCGUAAAAUUGCAGUUGAAACUGGCAGUCUUGAGUACAGUAGAGGUGGGCGGAAUUCGUGGUGUAGCGGUGAAAUGCGUAGAGA